rnacentral:rRNA from 1 species
AUUGAACGCUGGCGGCAUGCUUUACACAUGCAAGUCGAACGGUAACAGGCCUUCGGGUGCUGACGAGUGGCGCACGGGUGAGUAAUGCAUCGGAACGUACCCAGAGGUGGGGGAUAACGCAGCGAAAGCUGUGCUAAUACCGCAUGUGAUCUGAGGAUGAAAGCGGGGGACCGAGCAGCAAUGUUUGGCCUCGCGCCUUUGGAGCGGCCGAUGUCGGAUUAGCUAGUUGGUGGGGUAAAGGCCUACCAAGGCGACGAUCCGUAGCUGGUCUGAGAGGACGACCAGCCACACUGGGACUGAGACACAGCCCAGACUCCUACGGGAGGCAGCAGUGGGGAAUUUUGGACAAUGGGCGCAAGCCUGAUCCAGCAAUGCCGCGUGCGGGAAGAAGGCCUUCGGGUUGUAAACCGCUUUUGGCAGGAACGAAACGGUGUCCGCUAAUACCGGGCGCUAAUGACGGUACCUGCAGAAUAAGCACCGGCUAACUACGUG